CACUGUUUUAAUUUGUUCAUAAAUGGACAGCACACAGCUUCUGAACUUUCCUGGAAAUGAUCAUAUUGCCUUGUCUUAAGUGUAUCUAAUAUAAAUUCGGUUCAAAGCGAACGAUACUCAAAAUACCUAGAAUUUUGGAGAACUGUAGGGAGCCACCUUAAGCAAGUGACGUUUUUGACAACACGGACGUCGACCGGAAGUAAAGUUGACGUUUUUCACCAAUCACAGCCCUUGACCCAGUCUUCUGACGUUACUCAUGCCGUUCGUGUUGUCAAAAACGUCACUUGCUUAAGCUCACUAGUAUCCGGUUAAGCACCAACCUCGUUCCCAGGCUCUUACCUCUUGUGGAGGAAAGACCCUGGUAGGAGCUGGUCACGUGAUCUCCUAAAAUCUAGCAGAUUUCUAGUGAACUAUCUUGGAUUCCUUUUAAAAUCAAAUCAAACUUGGUCAAAUUACACAUCACAAUUACACUACACAAAAAUGGUCAAAUUACUAAUCAGUCACACUAUGAGUUCGAGUACUGAAAAUGGUUCAACUGACCAGUGACCACAGAGCAUAGACAUCUUAUAUACACUAGAUAUUGCAUCUAAUUAUUCUGCAAUUCAAAAAUUGAAGCCGUGAUUGC